rnacentral:rRNA from 1 species
GAUGAACGCUGGCGGCGUGCCUAAUACAUGCCAGUCGAGCGAACAGACGAGGAGCUUGCUCCUCUGACGUUAGCGGCGGACGGGUGAGUAACACGUGGAUAACCUACCUAUAAGACUGGGAUAACUUCGGGAAGCCGGAGCUAAUACCGGAUAAUAUAUUGAACCGCAUGGUUCAAUAGUGAAAGACGGUUUUGCUGUCACUUAUAGAUGGAUCCGCGCCGCAUUAGCUAGUUGGUAAGGUAACGGCUUACCAAGGCGACGAUGCGUAGCCGACCUGAGAGGGUGAUCGGCCACACUGGAACUGAGACACGGUCCAGACUCCUACGGGAGGCAGCAGUAGGGAAUCUUCCGCAAUGGGCGAAAGCCUGACGGAGCAACGCCGCGUGAGUGAUGAAGGUCUUCGGAUCGUAAAACUCUGUUAUUAGGGAAGAAAAAAUGUGUAAGUAACUAUGCACGUCUUGACGGUACCUAAUCAGAAAGCAACGGCUAACUACGUG